CCCUAAGUGAGGGCAGUUGCUGUCAGCAGGGCAGCAUCUAUAUGUGUAACAAUUUGCACUUCUGUUUGCUGGCUCCAAAAGGGGAAGGGAAUGUCCUCAUCCCAAGAGCAGGUCCCGGGGCAGCCUGCUGGGUGCAUUGACCAGGCAGCUUGUAAUGCAACGUAUACGGAGUAACAUUGGAUGCAUAUAUUUAACAAAGCCAUCACCUGAUGCAAAACUGAAUGCCUCGGAGAGAUCCAGGACCCUGGAGAUGAAAGAACCAAUAUUGCUGCGAAGGUUAUUCCUAGCACAGGAGCAGUUAAGAAACUGUCUGCACACAAAUGACGAAUUAUUGUAAUCUGAACAAAGAAUGGGGCAGUAAAGAUCACAUCAGUUGGAAACUUUGAAAGGACUAGAGGCA
rnacentral:lncRNA from 1 species